UGUGCACGAGGCUAGGAAGAGAAGAGAUUUCCAAAAAGGUGAAGUAAACCUGGAGCAGAGGAAGACAUGCAUGUGUCUCGGGCUGGGCGGAGGAGGAACGGCUUCUCGUCUUGUCUUAGUCCUGUACCUGUGAAGAUAAGCUGUUUAUUGACACUGUCAGGUUCCCAGGUCCCCCUUCAGUGAGGUCUUCCUGAUGGAUGCUGAUAUGGUCUGGCUGUGUCCCCACCCAAAUCUCAUCUUGAAUUGUAGCUCCCACAAUUCCUACAGGUCAUGGGAGGGACUCAGUGGGAGCAUAGUUCCUCUGCACGUGCCCUCUCUUGCCGGCCACCAUGUAAGACGUCCCUUUGCUCUUCCUGCAUCUUCCACCAUGAUUGUGAGGCCUCCCCAGCCAUGUGGAACUGGCCUGUUCCAGCACUGAGUGCGCCUUUGGGGAUCGUGCACCGUGAGCAGCACAGCUGGACCCCAGGUGAGGGCAC
rnacentral:lncRNA from 10 species